rfam:Schistosoma haematobium scaffold1343_1, whole genome shotgun sequence.
AUUCAUCCGAUGAGUCCCAAAUAGGAUGAAGCACGUGUCUCGGAU